rnacentral:rRNA from 1 species
AGCAGCCGCGGUAAUUCCAGCUCCAAUAGCGUAUAUUAAAGUUGUUGCAGUUAAAAAGCUCGUAGUUGAAUUUCGGGAUCAGUAGGUCGGUCGUGCCACUGGUAUGAACUGGUCUCACUGGUUCCUCCCUCUUGACGAACUGCAAUGCUAUUAAUUUAGUGUAGUAGGAAAUCAGGACUGUUACUUUAGAAAAAAUUAGAGUGUUUAAAGCAGGCUUUGGCUUGAAUACAUUAGCAUGGAAUAAUGAAAUAGGACGUUCGAUCCUAUUUUGUUGGCUUCUAGGAUUGACGUAAUGAUUAAUAGGGACAGUUGGGGGCAUUAGUAUUCAAUUGUCAGAGGUGAAAUUCUUGGAUUUAUUGAAGACUAACUACUGCGAAAGCAUUUGCCAAGGAUGUUUUCAUUAAUCAAGAACGAAAGUUAGGGGAUCGAAGACGAUCAGAUACCGUCGUAGUCUUAACCAUAAACUAUGCCGACUAGGGAUCGGAUGAUGUUAAUUUUUAAUGACUCAUUC